rnacentral:rRNA from 1 species
GUAGGUGGCAAGCGUUGUCCGGAAUUAUUGGGCGUAAAGCGCGCGCAGGGCGGUCCUUUAAGUCUGAUGUGAAAGCCCACGGCUCAACCGUGGAGGGUCAUUGGAAACUGGGGGACUUGAGUACAGAAGAGGAAAGCGGAAUUCCAAGUGUAGCGGUGAAAUGCGUAGAGAUUUGGAGGGACACCAGUGGCGAAGGCGGCUUUCUGGUCUGUAACUGACGCUGAGGCGCGAAAGCGUGGGGAGCAAACAGGAUUAGAUACCCUGGUAGUCCACGCCGUAAACGAUGAGUGCUAAGUGUUAGGGGGGUUUCCGCCCCUUAGUGCUGCAGCUAACGCAUUAAGCACUCCGCCUGGGGAGUACGGCCGCAAGGCUG